GCAAUCAAUAAAACAAGGAGUGUACAUAGAACAGUAUCGGACCUCUGAAAAGUAUAAGCAUGCAUAUGGACUCAGUACUUGGUUUGGGCCCCUUUUGCAGCAAUUACUGCCUCAAUGCGGCGUGACAUGGAAGCUAUCAGCCUGUGGCACUGCUGAGGUGUUAUGGAAGACCAGGAUGCUUCAAUAGCGGCCUUCAGCUCUUCUUCAUUGUUCAGUCUCAUGUCUCUCAUCUUUCUCUUGGCAAUGCCCCAUAGAUUCUCUAUGGGGUUCAGGUCAGGCAAGUUUGCUGGCCAAUCAAGCACAGUAAUCCCACGGUCAUUGAACCAGGCUUUGGUGCUUUUAGCAGUGUGGGC